rnacentral:rRNA from 1 species
UACGGAAGGCAGCAGUGGGGAAUAUUGCACAAUGGGCGAAAGCCUGAUGCAGCUAUGCCGCGUGUAUGAAGAAGGCCUUAGGGUUGUAAAGUACUUUCAUCGGGGAGGAAAAAACAAAACUAAUAAUUUUAUUUCUUGACGUUACCCGAAAAAGAAGCACCGGCUAACUCCGUGCCAGCAGCCGCGGUAAUACGGAGGGUGCUAGCGUUAAUCAGAAUUACUGGGCGUAAAGAGCACGUAGGUGGUUUUUUUAAGUCAGAUGUGAAAUCCCUGGGCUUAACCUAGGAACUGCAUUUUGAAACUGAAAUACUAGAGUAUCGUAGAGGGAGGUAGAAUUCUAGGUGUAGCGGUGAAAUGCGUAGAUAUCUGGAGGAAUACCUGUGGCGAAAGCGGCCUCCUAAACGAAUACUGACACUGAGGUGCGAAAGCGUGGGGAGCAAACGAGGGAUUAGAUACCCGU